GACGAACGCUGGCGGCGUGCUUAACACAUGCAAGUCGAACGGAAAGGCCCUGCUUUUGUGGGGUGCUCGAGUGGCGAACGGGUGAGUAACACGUGAGUAACCUGCCCUUGACUUUGGGAUAACUUCAGGAAACUGGGGCUAAUACCGGAUAGGAGCUCCUGCUGCAUGGUGGGGGUUGGAAAGUUUCGGCGGUUGGGGAUGGACUCGCGGCUUAUCAGCUUGUUGGUGGGGUAGUGGCUUACCAAGGCUUUGACGGGUAGCCGGCCUGAGAGGGUGACCGGCCACAUUGGGACUGAGAUACGGCCCAGACUCCUACGGGAGGCAGCAGUGGCGAAUAUUGCACAAUGGGCGGAAGCCUGAUGCAGCAACGCCGAGUGCGGGAUGACGGCCUUCGGGUUGUAAACCGCUUUCGCCUGUGACGAAGCGUGAGUGACGGUAAUGGGUAAAGAAGCACCGGCUAACUACGUG
rnacentral:rRNA from 1 species